rnacentral:lncRNA from 1 species
UACAGGCGGGAGAAUCUCAUUUUAUCCGGAACUUCAGCCCUGCGCUUGGAGAGAGCCAUAGGACGCGCUACCAACAGCAGGCUAAUGGAACGUGAAGUAUGGACUUUUUGACCGAAAAUACAUCUGUUGUGGACCUGGGAUGCUUUCUGAUGAAGACAACUAAAGGCAAGGAAAGCAGAGUGUAAAUGUUUCCUUUGAACAGUGGGUCCUCCUGAUGGAUCUCAUAGCGGAUGUCGAUCUGGAUGCUUUCAGUGAUCCCCAGAGAAGGAGUCUAAAGAGAAGAAGAGAAGAGGGCAAGCUUCAUCCUCCAUCUCUGUGAAAUGGUCAAUGACCUUCAUUUACUUUGGAAGCCC